AUUGAACGCUGGCGGCAUGCCUUACACAUGCAAGUCGAACGGUAACAGGUCUUCGGAUGCUGACGAGUGGCGAACGGGUGAGUAAUACAUCGGAACGUGCCCGAUCGUGGGGGAUAACGAAGCGAAAGCUUUGCUAAUACCGCAUAAGAUCUAAGGAUGAAAGCAGGGGACCGCAAGGCCUUGCGCGAACGGAGCGGCCGCUGGCAGAUUAGGUAGUUGGUGGGAUAAAAGCUUACCAAGCCGACGAUCUGUAGCUGGUCUGAGAGGACGACCAGCCACACUGGGACUUGUACACGGCCCAGACUCCUACUGGAGGCAGCAGUGGGGAAUUUUGGACAAUGGGCGAAAGCCUGAUUCAGCCAUGCCUCGUGCAGGAUGAAGGCCUUCGGGUUGUAAACUGCUUUUGUACGGAACGAAAAGACUCUGGUUAAUACCUGUGGUCCAUGACGGUACCGUAAGAAUAAGCACCGGCUAGCUACGUGCCAGCCGCCGCUGUAA
rnacentral:rRNA from 1 species